UUCUCACCUGGUCUCGCUCUUCUCCUACUCUUCCCUCUGAUCUCCUCUUACUUGUCUUAAACUCUUCUUUCACUCCUCUGUUCAUCCUCCUCUCUCACCUUGCUACACAAGUUCUUCUGAAUCUGCCAAAUCAACGAAGUAGGAAACAACUAUCUGCGGUCCUAAUGGAACAGGACGGACUUUGACGCUGUGGACCCUGACACCACUGACUACCUAAUGGCCCUGUGACCUGCACUUUUACGUGGAGAGAGACCCCACCAUGGACCCGUCCAUUGCUGAGACCACAGGAAACGCCAUCCGCAUCCUCAACAAAAAACCCAAGCGAUUCUUCCUCCUGGUGCAAGGUGAACAAAGGGUUAACCAAGCUGUCAGUCAAUGAAACGAUCCAUCAACCCAAUCCCAACAGGUUCCUCUUUGAAAUGGGUGUACGGUUGUUUGUUAAAAUGGAAUCAAUCUAUUGAGUGAAUAAUCACACCACUUGCUUAUAUAAUGGAACACCAAGAUGCAUUGAUUUCAAAAUGUGUGUAACCUUGUUUUUGUAACUUGCCUCAAUAUAGAGGGUAGUUAGUUGCGGUGCUGAUGCUGUGUGCCUCUCAGCAAGACAGUUAGGGACUGCAGUACACUACAUGUAUCUGCAGACUGUAGUAGGAUCUGCAUGUGUUUGCCGCAGUGUGAGGAGGGGGAACAUUAUGUUGGGAUGCGACAUAUUACUGUUCUACAGCGGUGGCUCUUGGGCCCAGGCCCUCAUCCAUCCUACCUUCAAUCUGAGACACCAUCCUGGGACCUGAUUGUGCUGUUGAGCGUCUUGCAUCUUCAACAAUGAGUUUUAAAUAACACAUCGCAGCAGGCUUUAAAUAGAGCUGGGCAUAUGGUGCACCGUACCCUCUUCUCCUGCUCCCUGGGGAUCCAACAUAUUAGCCCAACUCCUUUCCACUUUCUGACUGCACUGAUGAGGAGAACAGGAGCUAGGUUGGUUUUACUUGGCUAAGUUACACUUGUAGUAGAGUAAUUUCAACUUUACUCCUUGUCCCUUACACACAGACCUAUGGUCAGCUUACCUUUCCCCAAUCUUAACCUUAAAUCAUUAGAGAUGACACCACAAUCCUGAGCUGAGAUCAGUGUUUAUGGGUAACUUCAUCCUUCUCUUUCUCUCUGUGUGUCACGUGGGCGUAUCGACCAGGGCCACCAUGCCAGCAGAGGCUUGCACGAGACGGUUGCCUUUGACAACGACGUCGCCAAGGGCCUGGAGCUGACCAAUGAGGAGGAAACUCUCACCCUGUUGACAGCUGGCCACUCCCACGCCUUCACCUUCAAUGGAUACCCCUUCAGAGGCCAAAGCAUUCUGGGGAAAUCUCCUCUGUAUGGGAAGGAUAUGCUGCCUCACACAACCGUGAUGCACUGAAACGGCCCUGGACACAAAGUCGUAGACAACAAGCGCCCUGACAGCCAUAAAGUGGACACAAAGUGGAAGGACUACAUGCAGCUGUCUGCAGUUCCCCGGGACACUGAGACCCAUGGUGGGGAGGAUGUGGUGGUACUGGCCCGCGUCCCCAUGGCCCACCUCUUCCACUGGGUCCAGGAGCAAAGUUACCUGGCCCAUGCCAUGGCUUACACUGGCUGUGUGGGAUGGGACCUCAGGCACUGUGAAGGUAGACCUCAACACACCAACAGGAUCCUCAUCACUACUACUGCUGAUGAUAGGAACAGUGCACCAUCCCAGGUACCCUCCUUCUCUCUCGGUACUGCCCUACUGGCUGAACUGCUGCAAUGAGAGACUGGUGGAGGUGGAGAAGUGGGAGGGAGAGUAAGAGAAUGAAAGUAGAAUAAAAGAGAUCCAUCUGUUUUGCUACUCCUCUUAAACAAAUACAUGUGCUCUUUAACAAUAUGAUUUUAUCAAAUGAUUGUAAAUUAUGAGAAUACUCACAUUUGUAUAUGUUUAUUUAAAUAAAUA